ACGUUUUCUUUCCGGACACAUCCAGUGGAUACUGUGCAGACCUUCUCCAGCUAAUCUCAGGAAGGCUGAAGUUUUUAGACGGCUACCCUUCAUAUUUAGGGAUAAUCGGAGGAACUCCAAGCUCCAAACCCAGUAAGUGAAGGGGAAAUCCAAAGAAAACCAAGCUAGCCUCGUAAACAAAGUGGAAAUUUCCUUCUGCCCAGAAGAGUGCCAGUCCCAGCCAUAGAGGAAGCAAAGGGCGAAAACACAGUUCUGCCUGAAAUGACCUCCUAUUUUAAGAAAAAUCAACAGCCCCAAAAGAAGGAAAGGAAAAACAAAGUUCCACCCAGAAGGAAAUUGUAUGUAAACAGCCCGAAGGGAACCGGAGGUCUGAGAGGGCUAGCACACAGAACAGAGCAAGCCGGGAAAGGCACCAUUAGCCUCUGACAAUGUCAGCUCUGAACUUUGCAAGGACUGCUUUGUGAUUGACAAAAAGGGCUUGGGGGUAGGAGGUGCCAGACAAAAGCAAGUCCCCUCUGCAGCAUGGAAACUUUGAUCUUUGGAGUUUGCUAUUUUUUCCCCCCAGGACUUUGCUAGUGUGUAACCCGGGGAAGACCAGCAACCACAAAAUGUUGGCUAUAAUUUUCUGCAAUUUGUCACAUGCCCUCUUAGAGGCCUGGGGAGAUGGUUUUCUUUGUUUUUCUGGCUGUAUCCUGUGAGCUAGCAAGGUAGUUCAAAAAAGAUAAGAGGAAA
rnacentral:lncRNA from 1 species